GGUGAGUAACACGUGGAUAACCUACCUAUAAGACUGGGAUAACUUCGGGAAACCGGAGCUAAUACCGGAUAAUAUAUUGAACCGCAUGGUUCAAUAGUGAAAGACGGUUUUGCUGUCACUUAUAGAUGGAUCCGCGCCGCAUUAGCUAGUUGGUAAGGUAACGGCUUACCAAGGCAACGAUGCGUAGCCGACCUGAGAGGGUGAUCGGCCACACUGAACUGAGACACGGUCCAG
rnacentral:rRNA from 1 species